CGCUAUUAUCUUUUCAUCUUAUCUUUUUCUUCUUCCUUCCUUUUUUAUCACUUACUUUCUCUCUUGUGUGUUCUUAUAUAAUAUGUAAUAUAUGAAAAACUUGUCGAUGUCAUAUGAGAAGAGAAAGAAGUUCUAUUUAUAUGGGGACAAAGAAGAAGUUAGAACUAGAUUCCAAAAUCUAAUUGAACAAAUUUUGAUUUCUUGAUGAGUGUGGUCCUCAAAGAAGCUAGUGGCUUUCACUAAAGAUUGCCUCUAGAUGUGCUGAGUAAGAAUACUUGAGAAUUAACCUUGGAAAACACCAAGUUAAACAAAGAUUAAUAAUGAGGUAAAUAUAAAAAUUUAAAAAUUAACUAUAAAGAUUGAGAAUAAAAGUGUAAUACUCAUUUUCUCCAUAACAAGAUGCAACAAUUGUGGGUAAAUUAGGUCUCGGAUUUAUGGCCAAAAUCUACAAGGUAACACCAUAUAAGUUGGACCUAAAGAUUACUUCAAGUAACCCCACACAAAGUAGAGAUUGAAUCCCACGAAGAAGAGGACUUGAAAAUGAAGCAAUGAAAGAGACAGAGCAACAGUGAAUGCAACGAGUGGAAGGUCGAUGAAGGAGAGAACCAGAGAACAAGAAAGCUUCUCUCGAAAAAUAUAAGCCACAUAAGCUUAGUGCUUGUUUUUGUCUUGCUUGAAUCAUCCCCAAAAAAGAACUACUAUUUAUAGGGGUUAAUUAGGAUUUAGGUCGACUACAUAAAACCCUAAAGUGCGUGUGGGCCGACACGAAUGACGUCACUAAGCAAUGGGUCAAAGCCUAAUAAAUCCUAUAAGUGACAACUAAAGAUCUUUGGUCUGUCUUUGUACCUUGGGCUAUCAAUUAAGGACUUGGGACAAUAAUGUAUUCAAUCCAAGGCUUCUAAAGCCUAUGAAUAAUAAAGCCAACCCGAUUAAUCAUCAUAGUCCCUAGUUUAUUUGGUAUCAAAAUACUCAACAAACCUCCAAACUUUGAUGCUAAAUACACCUUCAAGACUAAAAGGGAAGAAAAUAGCUUAGUAAGUACAAAAUCUGAUUUCAAACAAAAUGGAAGCGCCACAUACAUUUAUCAAUGUUUAGAAGUAUAAGCCAACUCUUAAAUUUUACCAGAAGAAGCACUUUAGUGCCCAUAUCGAUAGGAUUAUAAUCUAAAUGCACUUUUUCAAGCUUUAUCAAAUUUUGAGAUAUUAUAUAUCUAAUAAAAUAUAGUCUAACAUAAACAUGUUUAGUAUUCUCUUGAAACUUGGGGCUUUUGCAUAGAUGAAUAAUAGAUUGAUUACCAAAGUAUACAAUCACAUUAUCACUUAAAAAACACAUAACUCAUUAAGGGAUAGAGAAACAAUAUUUUGGAAUUGUGACUUUCAACUAAGACAAGAAUCACACAAAGUGAACACAUAAGAGAAAUUGGACUAACUAUUGUAUCUAUCUCAAUAAUAAUCAACAUCAAUAAAACUAUUUAGCCCCGUUUGGCCCCCAUUUCUUUGGACAUGAAAUGGGUGGAAUAGUGUUUUUUUUUUUUUUUUUGAAAAGUGAGUGGUUGAAAAAGAAGGAAAAUUUUUCGAUUUACGUGUAAUAAGUGAGAGAAAAAUGGAAUGUAAUUAAAUGAAAAUUAAUGGGGGCAAAACGGGGGCUUAGUUUCACACCCUCAAAAACAAAUUUAUAAACUAUCCCCUCCUUACAAGUAUCCUUCAAAUACCUCAGCAACCACUUUAAAGUCUUCCAAUGUUUG
rnacentral:lncRNA from 1 species